rnacentral:rRNA from 1 species
CCUACGGGCGGCAGCAGUGAGGAAUAUUGGUCAAUGGCCGGAAGGCUGAACCAGCCAUGCCGCGUGAAGGUCAGUGCCCUAUGGGCGUUAAACUUCUUUUGUGCGGGAGCAAUAAUGGUCACGUGUGGCCAGACGAGAGUACCGUACGAAUAAGCAUCGGCUAACUCCGUGCCAGCAGCCGCGGUAAUACGGGGGAUGCAAGCGUUAUCCGGAUUUAUUGGGUUUAAAGGGUGCGUCGGUUGGGAGGUAAGUCAGCGGUGAAAUGCCCCCGCUCAACGGGGUGAAGUGCCAUUGAUACUGCCUGGCUGGAAUGCGGAUGCCGUAGGAGGAAUGUGUGGUGUAGCGGUGAAAUGCAUAGAUAUCACACAGAACACCGAUUGCGAAGGCAUCUCACGAAGCCGCGAUUGACGCUGAUGCACGAAAGCGUGGGUAUCAAACAGGAUUAGAUACCCCUGUAGUC